GGUGAACGCUAGCGGGAGGCCUAACACAUGCAAGCCGAGCGGUAUUGUUUCUUCGGAAAUGAGAGAGCGGCGUACGGGUGCGUAACACGUGUGCAACCUGCCUUUAUCUGGGGGAUAGCCUUUCGAAAGGAAGAUUAAUACUCCAUAAUAUAUUGAACGGCAUCGUUUAAUAUUGAAAGCUCCGGCGGAUAGAGAUGGGCACGCGCAAGAUUAGCUAGUUGGUGAGGUAACGGCUCACAAGGCGAUGAUCUUUAAGGGGCCUGAGAGGGUGAUCCCCCACACUGGUACUGAGACACGGACCAGACUCCUACGGGAGGCAGCAGUGAGGAAUAUUGGUCAAUGGGUGCAAGCCUGAACCAGCCAUCCCGCGUGAAGGACGACUGCCCUAUGGGUUGUAAACUUCUUUUGUAUAGGGAUAAACCUACCCUCGUGAGGGUAGCUGAAGGUACUAUACGAAUAAGCACCGGCUAACUCCGUGCCAGCCGCCGCAGUAA
rnacentral:rRNA from 1 species